AAAAUAUAGUCAAUAAAUAGCAUAAUUUUUUUUGAUUGCGAUGUUUUGAGGUUUCUUCUAUCGUGAUGUGGUACUUGACAGUGUAUGUAUUGACGACAUCAGUUCGCUGAAAGUCAGGUACGGUGGGACAAUGCAGGGUACACAGCGACA